GACGAACGCUGGCGGCGUGCUUAACACAUGCAAGUCGAGCGAAGCGGCGGACGGGUGAGUAACACGUGAGUACCCUGCCUUAGACCUUGGGAUAGCCUCGGGAACCCGGGAUUAAUACCAAAGGGUCUAAGAUGGACUCGCGUCCCAUUAGCUAGUUGGUGAGGUAACGGCCCACCAAGGCGACGAUGGGUAGCCGGCCGCAGAGGGUGAACGGCCACACUGGAACUGGGAAACAGUCCAAAAUCUACGGGAGGCAGCAGUCGGGAAUAUUGCACACUGGAGGGAACUCUGAUGCAGCUACGCCGGGUUAACGAAGAAGGCUUUCGAGUCGUAAAGUUCUUUUAUAUGGGAUGCGGUACCAUAAGAAAAAGCCCCGGCUAACUACGUGCCAGCAGCCGCGGUAAUAC
rnacentral:rRNA from 1 species